ACAUGCCUAUAACAUAGCGUUAAUGCACCAGAUCCCAUUAGAACUCCAUAGUUAAGAGUGCUUAGGCUAGAUUUGUACUGGGAUGGGUGACAACCCGAGAAGUCCUACUAUUUUACAUGCC
rfam:Picea glauca, whole genome shotgun sequence.